GUGCUUGCUUCAGCAGCACAUAUACUAAAAUUGGAACAGUACAGGGAAGAUAGCAUGGCCCCUGCACAAAGAAAUUUAAAAAGGAGGACAGAGAAGAGAAUUA
rnacentral:snRNA from 1 species